CAGGACCAACAGGUCCAGCUCCAAUACACCAAAAGAAUGCAGCCAUAACCAAUCAGAAAAGAGGAUAAAAUAGCAGAGUGAAAGGGCAAGCAUGAUCACUACAAAGCCACGCAGAGGACGCACAUGGCAAGCAAAACCAAAAAAAAUAAAAAGCUGACAAGACCAAACUUCUUCAUUGCUCAGUCUCUGCCUGGCCAGUGCAUCAGGGCAUCAGCAAUGGAGUUUGCCUCUCAAAGGAUGUGACAAAAAUAACAAGGGGCAGAUCUUUCAACCUUUCAAUGAUAAAAUUAACGGUUGAAGCGAAUUGCCAAGUUGCAGAAUCUGGAUGCAAGACCCAUGACGUUUCAUGCUUAGAAUCUGACUCUUCAAAAAUAGAGGAGGCGGACCUGCAUAAUUCAGGCAAGGACGCUGAUAACUCCAGAGUGUUGGCGAAGAAUUAGAGAGCAG
rnacentral:misc_RNA from 1 species